rnacentral:ncRNA from 1 species
UGCUAUGCUUCGGCCGGCAAAAAACAGUCAACUCAGAACUGGCACGGACCGGGGGAAUCCGACUGUCUAAUUAAAACAAAGCAUUGCGAUGGCCGCUGGUCGGUGUUGACGCAAUGUGAUUUCUGCCCAGUGCUCUGAAUGUCAACGUGAAGAGAUUCAUCAACGCGCGGGUAAACGGCGGGAGUAACUAUAAGUCAAUCGCAGUGCAACUGUCCAAGGAGAGUCGGAACGCUCUGUC